rnacentral:rRNA from 1 species
UACGAAGGGGGCUAGCGUUGCUCGGAAUUACUGGGCGUAAAGGGCGCGUAGGCGGACAGUUUAGUCAGAGGUGAAAGCCCAGGGCUCAACCUUGGAAUUGCCUUUGAUACUGGCUGUCUUGAGUUCGGGAGAGGUGAGUGGAAUGCCGAGUGUAGAGGUGAAAUUCGUAGAUAUUCGGCGGAACACCAGUGGCGAAGGCGACUCACUGGCCCGAUACUGACGCUGAGGCGCGAAAGCGUGGGGAGCGAACAGG